rnacentral:rRNA from 1 species
UUGGAGGGCAAGUYUGGUGCCAGCAGCCGCGGUAAUUCCAGCUCCAAUAGCGUAUAUUAAAGUUGUUGCAGUUAAAAAGCUCGUAGUUGAACUUCAGCCCUGGCCGGGCGGUMUGCCUCACGGUAUGUACUGUCUGGCUGGGGCUUACCUCUUGGUGAGCUSGCAUGCCGUUUAUUCGGUGUGUGAGGGAACCAGGACUUUUACUUUGAGAAAAUUAGAGUGUUCAAAGCAGGCAAAUGCCCGAAUACAUUAGCAUGGAAUAAURGAAUAGGACGUGCGGUUCUAUUUUGUUGGUUUCUAGAGUCGCCGUAAUGAUUAAUAGGGACAGUUGGGGGCAUUAGUAUUGAGUUGYUAGAGGUGAAAUUCUUGGAUUUACUCAAGACUAACUUUUGCGAAAGCAUUUGCCAAGGAUGUUUUCAUUAGUCAAGAAYGAAAGUUAGGGGAUCGAAGACGAUCAGAUACCGUCGUAGUCUUAACCAUAAACUAUGCCGACUAGGGAUCGGAUGAUGUUAAUUUUUUAAUGACUCAUUCGGCGCCUUACGGGAAAC